rnacentral:rRNA from 1 species
CCUCUAGAGUUUUAUCCUGGCUCAGAGUGAACGCUGGCGGUAGGCCUAACACAUGCAAGUCGAACGGCAGCACAGGAGAGCUUGCUCUCUGGGUGGCGAGUGGCGGACGGGUGAGGAAUACAUCGGAAUCUAGUCUGUUGUGCGGGGAUAACGUAGGGAAACUUACGGUAAUACUGCGUACGACCUACGGGUGAAAGCAGCCGACCUUCGGGCCUUGCGCGAUUGAAUGAGCCGAUGUCGGAUUAGCUAGUUGGCGGGGUAAAGGCCCACCAAGGCGACGAUCCGUAGCUGGUCUGAGAGGAUGAUCAGCCACACUGGAACUGAGACACGGUCCAGACUCCUACGGGAGGCAGCAGUGGGGAAUAUUGGACAAUGGGCGCAAGCCUGAUCCAGCCAUACCGCGUGGGUGAAGAAGGCCUUCGGGUUGUAAAGCCCUUUUGUUGGGAAAGAAAUCCAGCUGGCUAAUACCCGGUUGCGAUGACGGUACCCAAAGAAUAAGCACCGGCUAACUUCGUGCCAGCAGCCGCGGUAAUACGAAGGGUGCAAGCGUUAUUCGGAAUUACUGGGCGUAAAGCGUGCGUAGGUGGUUAUUUAAGUCCGUUGUGAAAGCCCUGGGCUCAACCUGGGAACUGCAGUGGAUACUGGAUGACUAGAAUGUGGUAGAGGGUAGCGGAAUUCCUGGUGUAGCAGUGAAAUGCGUAGAGAUCAGGAGGAACAUCCAUGGCCAAACCAGCUACCGGGACCAACAUUGACACUGAGGCACCAAAGCGUGGGGAGCAAACAGCAUUAGAUACCCUGGUAGUCCACGCCCUAAACGAUGAAAACUGGAUGUUGGGUGCAAUUUGGCACGCAGUAUCGAAGCUAACGCGUUAAGUUCUCCGCCUGGGGAGUACGGUCGCAAGACUGAAACUCAAAGGAAUUGACGGGGGCCCGCACAAGCGGUGGAGUAUGUGGUUUAAUUCGAUGCAACGCGAAGAACCUUACCUGGCCUUGACAUGUCGAGAACUUUCCAGAGAUGGAUUGGUGCCUUCGGGAACUCAAACACAGGUGCUGCAUGGCUGUCGUCAGCUCGUGUCGUGAGAUGUUGGGUUAAGUCCCGCAACGAGCGCAACCCUUGUCCUUAGUUGCCAGCACGUAAUGGUGGGAACUCUAAGGAGACCGCCGUGACGAAGCGGAUGAAUGUGGGGAUGACGUCAACUCAUUCUUGCCGUUACGGUGAGGGCCACACGCAUCACUCAAUGGUUCGGUCACGGCAGCACAAUCGUCAAAUCAGAGGACAAAUAACAAUGAGCAGUGAUCUAUAUGAAAAUUCUAUUCUAGGGCGGACCAAAACAGGUUGAAAGACGGGUAGGGGCGAUCU